CACAAGCAGUGGAGUAUGUGGUUUAAUUCGACGCAACGCGAAGAACCUUACCAAGUCUUGACAUCCUGUGACGCACAUAGAAAUAUGUAUUUCCUUCGGGACACAGAGACAGGUGGUGCAUGGUUGUCGUCAGCUCGUGUCGUGAGAUGUUGGGUUAAGUCCCGCAACGAGCGCAACCCUUAUGGUCAGUUACUACGCAA
rnacentral:rRNA from 1 species